UACGUAGGGACCAAGCGUUGUUCGGAUUUACUGGGCGUAAAGGGCGCGUAGGCGGCGUGGUAAGUCACUUGUGAAAUCUCUGAGCUUAACUCAGAACUGCCAAGUGAUACUGCUGUGCUCGAGUGUGGAAGGGGCAAUCGGAAUUCUUGGUGUAGCGGUGAAAUGCGUAGAUAUCAAGAGGAACACCUGAGGUGAAGACGGGUUGCUGGGCCAACACUGACGCUGAGGCGCGAAAGCCAGGGGAGCAAACAGG
rnacentral:rRNA from 1 species